GGGGGUGGGGGACGGGAAGGCGCGACGCUCACCUGACCUGGACCUGGGAGAGAAAGCGCCGUGGUGAGGAAACCCCGAGCUACCUGGACGAGCGUCCGCGUGGGCGGGGACGGGGACAGGUGGCGGAUCACACCCACCCGUAGCUGGAUCCGUGGUCACUGCGCAGAGCCUCGGGCUCCUGUCCUGAACUCCCGGGCGCGUUCGGGGGGCCGCUCCCGCCCGGGGCCGCCUCCACCCUUCUCCGGUGCCAGAUCUCGGUGCCCUGCUCACUCUCCCGUCCUGACCUCCGGGUGCUCAUGCCGGCUCACAUUCUUACGGACGCCCCCUUAAAAAGCCCCAUUCCAAGGAAUGUCAUUAUCACGCCGAUGCCAUCGGGUUCAGUCCUGGGCCCCACAUUUGAUGGGUACGCGACUCGUGGAAAGGGACAAGGAUUAUGAAUAGUCCGGAAAUCACGUUCUAAAAGUUGAAGAAACUGAGGACAUGAACGUGGAGAAAAAACAAUUUUGGCAGCUGUUCAAAGGCCUUCAGACCAAGACUAGACUCUACAACAUUGGCUCCCCUGGUUCUCAGGCCUUUUGCCUCUGGCUGAAUAACACCCCCGGCUCUCCUGGUCUCUGGCACACAGACAGCAGACAUGGGACUUCUCAGCCUGCACGUGUACGUAUGUUGACUCCUCGCAGGAAACCUGUUCCUCCGCACAGGCACACCUCAGUUUACCGUGCUCGCUUCACUGCGCUUCACAGAUGCUGCACUUACAUCAAGGCGAGACACUCUACCGGCAAGUGAUCAUGAGAUGAUGGUUAGCGUUUUCUAGUAAUAUUUUAUAAUUAAGUAUGUACACUGUUUUACUUUUAGACAAAUGCUGUUGCACUUAAUAGGUUACAGUAUAGUGUAAAGAUAACAUAUUCAGUGGGAAACCAAAAAAUUCGUGUGGAUCACUUCAUUGUGAUACUCGCUUUAUGCGAUGGUCCGGAACGGAACCCACGUGUCUCGGAGGUUUGCCUGUACGUGUCCUACCGGUUCUGUUUCUCUAGAGGCCCUUGACGAAUACAGUGAACAUUCUCGAGCUCUGUUCUGGGAUGUAGGUAAAUUACUGGGAAAUCGUUUUUUUGGCUCUUGCUUUUUAAGAUUCAUUAGGCGAGACACGAGCAGUGUUUGGUCUCUGGCAAGACCCUCUGAGUGCUCUACCCAAUGAGUGAUCUGCCCAGUUCCCCAGGAAUUGACCCUGCGUCAGGAACUGUUGCCUUCACUCACUUAGAUGGUUUCUCUGCCCUUGAGUAGUUUUGUCUCACUCGUGUGCUGGUCCACACUGUGCUGAAUAACCCAAGGAGACCGGAGACCUUUCACACAUCUCCAGGGUUCUCCCUGUGCGUUGCUCUCGCCUGGUGGUCUCUGCCCUGGGGACUCUGGCUGCCUUCCUGUCCCUGGAUGCUCAGCUCCGCCUCCUCAUCUCAGGGUCUUCCCGGGAGCUCUGCCAGUGCAGUAGGCUGGGAUGAUAACAGGCCUCACGGCAGCUGUUCUCUGAUUUCCAGGAAUUACUGUCCUUUGUAACCUGAUGUCCAGUGUCUUCCACUGUUGUUUCAUCUACUUUGUUUUUUUCUACUUAGUAGGUUCAGCUAGGAGGGUAAAGCCGGUACCUAUAAAUAUAUCUGGGCUGUGCGUAGAUAUCAUUGGCUUCUUUUUAAAUAUGAGAUAAUGAAAUUUUACAAAUUACCUGUAGAGUAGGGUAACAACAGGUGAGAUGGAACUGGGGUAAGAGCUGCACUUCUCUGGAUAGAACUUGUUUUACAGAUUGACUUUGGGUCUUGUAAAUAUGUUAAUUAUAAAACAAACAAAAUCUUUAAGAAGAAUCCCUAAAAAACUGAAAGCAAAAAUGAAACAGUGAACCCAAUCGUGUAUCGCGUUGGUGGCAGGACAACAAAAAGGACAGAUUUUAAGCACACCUAGUGCGACACAGUAUAAAGACAGAAAGAACUAUAAAACACCUUUAAAUUGUCUUCAGUAACAUGACGAUGGUAGUGUUGAUAUUGGUAUUUUUAACACUUGUGUGACUAUAUUAUAAAAUAAAAUAAUUAUAUCGAUGUCAUUGAAAACUGGGAUUUCCAACUUUGGAAAUCUCUGAAUUUUUAUUGUGAGUAAUCUAUAAGGCAUCAUGAUGAAUAUUAAAAAAAAAAAAAAAUCCCCUAGCUUUGUCUUCUGAAAAGGCUUAGAGAUGAUGGCCAACUCAAAAGUAAUCUUAGUACCAAGAAUAUAGUCUCUAAAUACGAUUGCCCAUUAAAAGGAACCAGGGCUCCUUAGAGAAAUAGCUCCUUCCAGAUCUAGGCUGGGUGUACAAGAGCUUGGAACAUCUUGUCACACUAAAAAAGCAAGGAAGGUAUCAACCACUAGGUGGUGUCAAAGGGCCCAAGAGCCAAGCUAAAGAGGAUCCCACAAGUCAAAAAUGGGAGAAAUUGAGCAUCAAUAAGAAUAAUAACUACAGUGGGUAGAAACAGAAAAUAUUUAAAAACUCAUGACAUCAUAAUGAUUCUUAGAAAAGAGAAGACACACACACACACACACACACACAAACAGAAACCUUUCAGGCAUCUUUAGAUAAUGCCAAGAAGAUAACUCAUUAUUUUGAAAACUAAAUAGAUUCAAAGAUUUGUAUUGCCUUAACUAUACAAACCAAAUCUUAGAGUAAAAGAUACUUGAUUAUAAGUUUUUCUUUGAAGAAGAAUACCAGUCUUUAAAUAAAGCAGGAACAACACAAUCAGGCUAUCACUAUAUUGCAGCCUAUACUAACAGGUCUAGUCAAUAUCACCAAUGACAAGUAACAUCAAAAGAAGAUGCUUCUUGAUGGAAGAAUACAGCAUAUCCUAUUACAUAUUCUUGCCAAACAAAAUUAAACUCGAAUCUGACUACCAAUUCCCAGGAAAUAUGAAGAACCAGAGGAACAUGUUCAAUUAUACCAGGGGGAUGUAAUUAGCAAAAUGCAGACCAGAAUAUCCCCUAGAAGCCAAAUAAACCUGUUUCUUCAGUGAAUACAUUGCAACAACAAACAAAAACAAAUUUAUUGACAGAGUAACUGGUAUAUCUGCCAUCCUACCGAAAGUAACUAGAAAACAACAAAAUAUAUGAGAAAACUGUUUUCAGAUAGAGAACAGGCAGCACGCAACCGUGACCCCGAGACAGGAGCAACAAGUGGGGUGAGCCACGUGAUCACCCAGCUUCCUGCCGGGAGAACCCGAGCAAGAGGUGGUGAUCGGAGUUCGGGGAGGCGGAGGUGCCCGGAACAGGCAGGAAGAAGUGCCAGAAAGAUGGGGGCGACACAGAACAGUGUCAGCGGUCUGCAAGGAGUUUCCUUCAGUAGCACCAGGUAAGGUAUUCCUUGAGGAUGGGCCAAAAGACAACUACAGACAAAAAGAACAACUACCAAGAAGUCGGAAGCUGAACAAUUCCCGGAGUGAACAGGACAGGGGGGCAUCUGUGUUUCGGCUGGUCGGAGUGAACUCACCUACCAAAUGCUGGUGUUCAGUAGUGCCAGAAGACUCACACCUUAGUAGCAGGGCUGCACUAGCUCUGCAGACUACCGUACACACCUCUCUGACGAAUCUUAAAAACGAGACUGGAAAGGAUCAAGCUGAUCGACAAGUAACUUAAUAGACUACCAAAACAAACGUCGACACUUUUUAAAUGAAGCCACUAAACUCCAGGCACUCAACAACACACUUUUCACAGUGUCUAGCACCAAAUAAAUAAAGAGACAUGCCAAAAAGCAGGAAAAUGGAAAAUGUGUCCCAUUACUAGGAGAUAAAUCAAUCUAUAAAACCCCCAAAAUUACAACAAAUGGCAAUUAAUUAGCUCACAAGGGCUUUUAAAGAACUACUUCAAAGUACACUUAAGAACUUUUUAAAAAAUAAAACCAUGACCAUACAGAGGAGAGAAAUGGAAGGUAUAAAAUAGGACUAAGUAGAACUUGUAGAGCUAAAAAAUAAAAUACCAGAAAUGAAAAAUUCACUUGAUAGGCUUAACAGCAGGUUGGAUCUACAAAAGCAAAGCUCAGUGAACUUGAAGACAACAGGAACUAUCUAAACUGAACCAAAGACAUAAAAGGCUGAAAAACAACAAAAAAGAACAGAGCCUCAGUGACCUAUGGAACUGUGGUUGUAUAAAGUGGUCUAACGUAUGUAUAAUUGGAGUCCCAGAAGGAGAGGCAAGAGAAGAACACAAAAAAAUUUGAAGAAAUAUGAAAAUUCAUAGACCUGUAUACAGAAAGGGUGAAUUUUAUAAGAUGUGAUUAUGCUUUAAACCUUUAUAAAAAAUGUGUUUAUUCACAGAUGACAUGAUCAUCUUCUACACAGAGAAUCCUAUGACAUCUACAAAAGACCCUGUAGAACUAAUAAGUAAAUUUAAUAAGGUAGCAAGAUAAAGUCAAAUACAAAAAUCAGUUGUAUUUCUAUAUAUCAGCAAAAAUCAAUUGUAAAUGAAAUGUAAAAAGGAUACCAUUUGCGACAUCAAAAUCCAUGAAAUAAACUGGUAUACGUAAACCAAAUAUGCAUGAAACUUGUACACUGAAAACUACAAAACACUGUUGAGAGAAAUUAAAGAUCUAAAUGAAUGUAGAGAUGAACUUAGUUCUUGGCUUAGAAGCCUCAAUAUUUGUUGAUAUCGAUUCUUCCCAACCCCUCUGCAGAUUCGACAUAAUCACAGUCAAAAUCUCCACAAGAUUUUUUGUAGAAAUUGAUAAGUUGAUUCUAAAAUCCAUAUGGAAAUGCAAAGAAACUUAAAUAUACAAUUUUGCAAAAGAACUUACCAAUUGCAAAGCUUUCUAAAAAGCUACUCUAAUUAAAACAAACAAACGUGUGGGAUUAAAUGAAUGAAACAGAACAGAGUCCAGAAAGAGACACACAUCUGCAGUCAAUUGAUAUCAACUCAAAAGUGUCAGAGUAACUUGGGGAAAAAGUGCUAUGGGAACAACUGGAUAUGCACACAAGGAAAAAGUAAAACGACGCUGUUCACAGAAAUUAACUCAAAAUGGAACGCGGACCUGAACAUGAAAGGUGUAACUAUAAAACUUCGAGAAGGAACAUGAGCAGACAUUUGCAUCGUUGGAACUGAGUAAGAGUCCUUAGGUAGGAAAUAAAAAGCACUAACCGUAAAAGUGAAAGUGAAUUAAAUGGAGUUCAUCAAAACUAAAAAUUUACUCUUCAAAGGACAAAGCCAAGAAACUGAAAGUCCAGGGUGUGGCCUGGGAUGAACUGUUCACGGUGUGGUGCGUGUGUGAGGACAUGCUGGGCAGAGGGGCGGGUCACGUCCCGGAGGGCCAGCUGGCCGCUCGGAGCACUGUGGGUUUAACACUUUGGAAUUGUUUCUGGAACUUUACGUUUAAUAUUUGAACUACAACUGAUCACAGGUAACUGAAACCAGAAGGCAAAACUGUGGAUAAGGGGGACCUACUGUAUAUGUCUGUCAAAACUCACUGAGCUGUGCUCCUGAAAUGGGUACAUUUUGCUGGAUGUAAUUUAUACCUCAUUAAAGCUGAUUUAAAACAUA